GACGAACGCUGGCGGCGUGCCUAACACAUGCAAGUCGAGCGGAGACAUGGUAAGGAAGGGUUUCGGCCUGGAAAGAUCAUGUUUUAGCGGCGGACGGGUGAGUAACGCGUGAGCAACCUGUCCUUGACAGGGGGAUAAGACCUCGAAAGGGGUUCUAAUACCGCAUAGGACCACGGGAUCACAUGAUUCUGAGGUGAAAGGAGCAAUCCGGUCAAGGGUGGGCUCGCGUCUGAUUAGAUAGUUGGUGAGGUAACGGCUCACCAAGUCAACGAUCAGUAGCCGACCUGAGAGGGUGAUCGGCCACAUUGGGACUGAGACACGGCCCAA
rnacentral:rRNA from 1 species